rnacentral:rRNA from 1 species
UACGUAGGGUGCAAGCGUUAAUCGGAAUUACUGGGCGUAAAGCGUGCGCAGGCGGUUGUGCAAGACAGAUGUGAAAAUCCCCGGGCGUCAACCUGGGAAGUUGCGCUUGUGACUGCACAGCUGGAGUGCGGCAGAGGGGGAGUGGAAUUCCGCGUGUAGCAGUGAAAUGCGUAGAUAUGCGGAGGAACACCGAUGGCGAAGGCAAUCCCCUGGGCCUGCACUGACGCUCAUGCACGAAAGCGUGGGGAGCAAACAGGAUUAGAAACCCCGGUAGU